CAGACGGCAGACCUGAUCGAGCAUUUGUGGACGGAUACAUUGCUAGUCCUGGCUAUGUCCCUGGCUUGAAUGCUCUAAAACCAUCUAGAGCAGGGGGAGACUUAUCGCGCGAAUGCAUGCGUUAUUGUUGUGCCAGUCUGCCAGAGCAUGACUGCGCUAAUCGACUGCAGAAAAUUAGGUGUCUCAAGAAACUAGAAAAAUUUAGAAGGCUUAUAACAAGACGAUCAACGUAGCCUGCGUAAUGCGUAAAUAAUCC